CAGUCCGAGUGUUUGGAAUGAAUGAAGAAAAAAAGCUGAACUUCUUUUGAACAAGGAAUUUAUUUGCAUGCAAGGAGGAGCCGCUGACUUUAAUAACUGACAUAGUGCCAGUGCCUUUUUGAAGCAUGUCUGCUGAAGUGGGCAGGAAGUCCAGAAAUGUUCUUUUGAAACCAGUCUAUUUUCGUCACCACCUGUUCAUAAUGGCUGGAGAAUGAAGCGUCACAAUGACUACAAAAGAGACAUAUAUUGUACUGCAUCUGGGAUUGUAGAUGAAAAUGCAUUGAAUGCAAUGUUAACUGACAGCUCUCAUUGCAAAAGCAGUUGAUACAAGAUGGAUGGUUGGACAGAAAUGCAAAUUUUUGUCUGAAUAAAACAGAGUGCUUUUAUUAA